CCUACGGGAGGCAGCAGUGAGGAAUAUUGGUCAAUGGCCGAGAGGCUGAACCAGCCAAGUCGCGUGAGGGAAGACGGCCCUACGGGUUGUAAACCUCUUUUGUCGGGGAGCAAAGCGAGCCACGUGGGGUUCAUUGAGAGUACCCGAAGAAAAAGCAUCGGCUAACUCCGUGCCAGCAGCCGCGGUAAUACGGAGGAUGCGAGCGUUAUCCGGAUGUAUUGGGUUUAAAGGGUGAGUAGGCGGGCCUUUAAGCCGGCGGUCAAAUGUCGGGGCUCAACCCCGGCCUGCCGUCGGAACUGGGUGCCUUGAGUGGGCGAGAAGUAUGCGGAAUGCGUGGUGUAGCGGUGAAAUGCAUAGAUAUCACGCAGAACCCCGAUUGCGAAGGCAGCAUACCGGCGCCCUACUGACGCUGAGGCACGAAAGUGUGGGUAUCGAACAGGAUUAGAUACCCCUGUAGUC
rnacentral:rRNA from 1 species